rnacentral:tRNA from 1 species
GGUGGUAUGGUUGAUUAAUCUCUUGGCUGCUAACCAAAAGGUCGAUGGUUCAAACCCAUCAUCCAUUC